rnacentral:rRNA from 1 species
GAUGAACGCUAGCUACAGGCUUAACACAUGCAAGUCGAGGGGAAACGGCAUCGAAAGCUUGCUUUUGAUGGGCGUCGAACGGCGCACGGGUGAGUAACGCGUAUCCAACCUGCCCAUCACUUGGGAAUAACCUUGCGAAAGUAAGACUAAUGCCCAAUGACAUCCCACGAAGGCAUCCGAAUGGGAUUAAAGAUUUAUCGGUGAUGGAUGGGGAUGCGUCUGAUUAGCUUGUUGGCGGGGUGACGGCCCACCAAGGCAACGAUCAGUAGGGGGUCUGAGAGGAAGGUCCCCCACAUUGGAACUGAGACACGGUCCAAACUCCUACGGGAGGCAGCAGUAAGGAAUAUUGGUCAAUGGGCGAGAGCCUGAACCAGCCAAGUAGCGUGCAGGAUGACGGCCCUAUGGGUUGUAAACUGCUUUUAUAAGGGAAUAAAGUGGGUCACGUGUGACUUUUUGCAUGUACCUUAUGAAUAAGGACCGGCUAAUUCCGUG